UGUUUCUUGUUACUCCGUAACUGCUAAGCUUCCCUCCCUCUCUUCCUACUAUCCUGCUGUUAUGCUUUUCUCUCUCUUACCGUCGCCAUUACCUUUCUCUCCUUUCUAUCUCCUCUCUACUGUUGGUCGUGGUUGGCAAGUCUCUCUUCCAUUGUAAUCUAUAACUACUAGCGCGAAAUUAGGCGGACGUUUUUUAUCAUCGAAGCGUUAGUUUCAAUUCAUAAAUAUGGAGGUUAUGUUGUUCUUGAGUCAUGCUUCUACUAUGGAUCAUGUCAUUGGCUGAGGUUUAUUGUUGUUAUUUUCUUGUUCUAAACUACAACAAGAAGAAUGUUAGAUCGUUUGACCGACACUGCAACACUAGACUUAGCUUGGAUGGAUGCAAGCCAAGAAAAUGCAGUCAGGAGUGUAAAAAGAGUUGCCCUGUGGUUCAGACAGGAGGUGAUUUCUAAGUGAGUGCUAGUUUUUGCAAAGUGGCCCCUACGCUUAGGUAUUCAAGAAUAAUAUAGCAGGUUGGUAGAUCGAAGUACGAUCGAAAUCACGUGGCUUGGGAUGAUUGAGAGAGUUGCAUGCUUUCGUACUUUAAAACUAUUUUUAUCUAUACUUUAAUUAUGUUUUGAAUUUGUUGAACUUUUAAUACUUUGGUUUUUGGGCCAUUAUGGUUCCAAUUUGUAGGAGGCCUCGAUAAUUUAAUUAUUUAUGUUUUGAAA